GAUGAACGCUAGCGGCAGGCUUAAUACAUGCAAGUCGAGGGGCAGCACGGUUAGCAAUAACUGGUGGCGACCGGCGCACGGGUGCGUAACACGUAUACAAUCUACCUUAAACAGGGGGAUAGCCUUUCGAAAGAGAGAUUAAUACCCCUUAAUAAAUUGAACGGCAUCGUUUGAUUUUGAAAGCUCCGGCGGUUUGAGAUGAGUAUGCGUCUGAUUAGCUAGUUGGUGAGGUAACGGCUCACCAAGGCGACGAUCAGUAGGGGAUCUGAGAGGACUAACCCCCACACUGGUACUGAGACACGGACCAGACUCCUACGGGAGGCAGCAGUAAGGAAUAUUGGUCAAUGGAGGCAACUCUGAACCAGCCAUGCCGCGUGCAGGAAGAAGGCCCUCUGGGUUGUAAACUGCUUUUGACAGGGAACAAGAAGUCCAUGCGUGGAUUAGUGAGUGUACCUGUAGAAUAAGCCACGGCUAACUACGUGCCAGCAGCCGCGGUAAU
rnacentral:rRNA from 1 species